CACCUCAGAAAUGGGCAAAGAGACACCUUGUUGGUGGUAUGGUUCUUUUAUCAGUCAGGAGCAGAGCAGUUGGGAGUCCUUUGCUCAUUCUAGCUUGAUGCCUAGUUUGGUGGCCAAAGCUGUCUUAUGCCUAAAACUUGUGA